GCCGGGGGGAGGCCGCCUCCAGGAGGCUCCUCUCCGCUGUGGGAAGGGGGAAAGGGGGGAGGCAGGCGCCAUCUUAGCAGCCUAGGGGGCGGCCGGGGCCUGCCCGCAGCGGGUGGGGGGCUCUGAGGGAGGUGCAGAGGCCGGCAGCCCUCUGGCUGUGUCACCCAUGUCGCUGUGGGGCUGGCUGCAGCUCUGUGUGUGCCUCAGGUGCCUCGCUGCCUCCGUCUGCCCCACCACCGUAAACCAUCCUCUGGUACAUAAUCACUGGCGUGAGGCUCAACCGACUCAGCCUCCGCAUGCCCACCCAGCACAGCCUCGUCCUCCAUUAGCACCACGGCCUCACGAAGGCUCGCGGUUCCCUCCUGCUCGCCUGCGCCGUGGCUGAGCGGAGGCAUUUUGUGCCACAAGUCACCUGUCAGGUUUGGUUUCCCAAUCGCCUCCCCUGCGGAGGCUUCAAGGAAGAGCUAAAGGAAGGCCGCCCUACGUCUUGCGUUAGCGUUGCUCUCCUCCGAGGCAGCCAAAGCUCCAAAAUACAUCUAUUUUCAGUUGGCACUGAAACAAAAAAUUCAUUGAGGGGUACGGAGUGACAGGCAGCCCCGCGCAGACCUCCCCGCGCUGGGUCUCGUCGGCAGCAUUUUCUGCUAUUUCCACGUAAAAGUGCUGCAAGCGGAACAGCCGCAAUUGCUCUAUCAACUGUUUUAUCGCAUCCAGGCUGUGUGGUGUUACAUUAUUCAUCGUCUCUGUGGAGCUGUGAAAUCCCCGAACACCUUACGUGUCACGAGGCAAAACAACUCAAUGGGUUGAAUGGUUAAAAUAAACCAGAGCUUCAGGUGGCUCAUUUUCCUCCGUGGGGGCUCUUUAUUCCCCAGGGGCUUGAGAGUGCAUUUGUUACAACAAAACAAAUUGGCCUUGAAAGGCCCAGUCAAACACACAAGAUCGCAAAUCCACCCGGCGUAGUCACCCCCAUCGACGUCUGAUCCAGAUUUCGGCUUCUUUUUGAGGGGACCCGCAUGGUUACCUCGGAGGUUUUCUGCUUCCCAAGGGGAAAACCCCUGUGCAGGCGUGCAUUUCAUAACUGCCUCAUUAUCUCUUGAACAGGAUGGGCAGGCUGAGCCUGAAUUAACUCUUUGGAAGGUAAAGGGCCAGGGGACAUUGAUCGAGUUUGUUGUUUUCCCUCAUUUGGGCAUCAAGAGGACUUUUUAUGGGCUAAUUCAUACCAGCAUGGUUAUCUGCAGGUAUAUUUGUAUCUAACAUGCUGUGUAUUUCGUCCACCUUAAGCUAGGCAAGUAAUUAAUGAUUUUUUUUUAAAGGAUUUCAGGCCUGUAUGUGUAAAUGAAAGCAUUGAAAUAAGUGGGAAAACAGUGAAGAAAAAUGCUAAGAAAAGUAGCGACCCGUGAUCGUGCACCCAGAACAAAUUCCCUGCUGCAGAACCCACGCUGCCUGCGAGGUUACGAAGGAAUACUCCUGAUUCCCCUUUAAUUGCAUACUUCACAGGGGCUGAGGCAACCCUAGCUGCCGCUGCAUGCUGCUGCAUGACCCUUUGUUGCAACACAUCUAGGUGGAAGUGCUACCAGAUUCCUCCUGGUCCUGCUCCCUUCGUGACAGCAGCAGGGGAAGGAAGCUGUGUAAAAGUCCCUGGCUUUUCCUGAAUUGCCAGCUCUCCACUGCCUCUGCAGGCUGUGCCCACUUUGCUUUUACUCAGGCAGAAAACGCUCAGCCUUCCCGACUAAUACCAAGUCGUAGAGCUUGAUGUUAGAAUAUUCCCCUCCAUUAAUUCCUCAGGAAGAAGGAAUAUAUGAGCUGAUCUCAGGCAGUCGGGGCAUUUUUAAGUUUUCAGUGAUAUUAACACUGAGAAGUAUAAAGCCAUUUUUAUUACUUUAAUCUGCAAGUUAAUUUUUAAAUGGAAUGCGGGUAUAAACAAUGCCAUUUUUAAGUACAUUACAGCGCUGUCAGGCUGUGACAAUUUAAAUGAAUGAGACUUCAAAACGUAUUAUGGAAAGGAUUAAAUGUCUCAUUGAAAUACACAUGGCAAAAAUGAAAUCCAUCAGUAGAAUGAAAUUAUAUUAAAACUUCCUAGAAUUAAAUCCGAAACAAAGGCCUCCCCUACCAGGUAAGUGAGACCGCGUUGGGUGAGGCUUUAUCUGAGAGCAGUUUUAAUUUCCAACUGACUGCAAAUGACAAAUAAUUCACUCUUGUUAGAUCUUUCCAGCCCAAGCACUUUGUAAAACAAGAUGAUAUGAUUAUCUUCAUGUUACAUUUACACAGCAGUGUUUAAGAGGUUGAAGUGGAGGUCAAGCAACAAGUGAGCAGUGGAAUCACCAACCAAACCAGCGCCCAGGCUUUCUGCUUGUCGUGUUCCCUCUGUGUUAUGCUGUCACCAGCAGCCUCUUUUUCCAUACAAUUCACUUGGACUAAAGUCCGUUUUCAGGCUUUAUUUCGGUUUACAAAGCAGGCUAUUUUAAGAGUUUCUUGUAAGUCACAAGCAGCCACCAUACAGUCGUUAACCCAAGAAGGUAACUUUAAGCGUAGGGAGUUUAAAAGCUUCUUGGCCAAAUUCAGCGUUGUAAUAAGUAAUAAAUAUUUUCUUUGAUGAUGGUGUUGCAAGCAUUUAGGGCGAGCACGGUUCUUUAGAGCUCUGCAUACUUUCUGAAUAUGGGCUUGAUUCUGUUUCAUGCUGAGCCCCUGAUGCGUGCAGAGCUCCCCCCUUACUACCAACUUGCUUAUUCACUAAAAAGGUAGCAGAAAUGGUAAAAUUGGUCCAAGUGGGGGUUGAACAAGAAUGCUGGGUGUGGCAGCAGCAGGAACAAAUGGCAGAAGGGUACAAGAGUGGUAUUUGAUGAUGGCAUCUGGGCCAGCAGGUCGCAGCGAUUGCAGCGUGGGUGUAGCUGCAGGGAGCCUGGCGACCUGGGGGUAGGUGUCCCCACGGGGUGAAACAUCGCUACCAGCUACUAAAACAUGGUAAAAUCUCACAUGUGGAAGGAGAACCGAGACCUGAGGAUGAAUAUCCAGCUCAUUGCAAGAUGAGGCAGAGCCCCAGGCACAAGCACCUUGGUGCCUGAAGGCUGCAGGGACUGCCUGGGCACCACUUGGCGCCUCUGCGCACGUGGGUACAAGAAUACGACCGAAACCAGCUUUGGUUUAAGUUUUCUCCCCCCUUCCACGGUCUCAGGUGCAGGUGCUCUAUGUAUUUACUGCAACGUUGGGCCAUCAUUUCCUGUGUGACAGCCUUUUUGCUGGUGUUUCAGACCUCCACAGGGUACGAAGGCUUGGCUUUCUACUCAGCAGAGCAUGCACUGUGCUGAGAACCGAGAGCAGGACGCUUUCAACACCCUGCUUUAACACCUUUUCCAUACCUCUUAACUUAAACAACCUUACAGACGGGCUCUAGCCAAGAUUAAUGCCCAGCCUCGUGGAGGGUAAAUAUGCCAUUCUUCAUGACACUGGACAAGUUAAUGACACAGCUGGUCACAAAAAGGAGGCUGUAACGUUGUGCUAAGCAGAAGAAAUACUGCCUGUUACGUCCUGUGUGUAAGUGGCGUGAUAACUCCCAUCAGAGUUGGUGUAACUUGUCCUUUUUUGGCAAUCACGCCGGCGAGACCAGGCACUGAAUAGGGAAUAAACCAGAGCUAUUCUGUAACCCUACCGAGCUGAUCCCACUGAGAACUCCCUCUAUUUACUCAUCUGCACUUAAAGACUGUCAGUUUUAUUCAGAUGUCUACUCAGUCUGCGAAAUACUUUCCUUAACCUACUUUUGAUGCCUUUGAAGUAUCGUCUGCUUCACUAGUUUGAAGAGCACUAAAGCCCUCGUGCAGCCAAUAGGCACUUAAGUGCUUACUUUUAAACCCAUGAGCAGCUCCGUGAGGCACACAGGAAUUGCCGCAGCUCGACAGAUCUGUCAGUCCGUCUCCUUCACUCGUUUGUCUCCGACAGCACUCAACACCAGAUUCCUGCUCCUACGCCUCCCUCUCCCUUCCCCGCCGUGCAUUAGGGAAAGGAGAAGAGGGCCGAUGCCACGACAGCAACUUCCCCACUGAUUUGGGCUCUUACAACACGAUGGGUGCCACCACGGGGCUGAUACCACCACGGCAAGCACCAGCUUUCCGUUGUGUCCAUCCCCAUCCAGGGAGGCGUAACACCAAAUCCAUCCCAUUGCCUAACCCGUAGGAGCAGUGCUGCACCUCAAAGCAUGAGGUGGAAGGAAAAAUAAAUUUUAUUUUUUUUUUCCGAAAAAACAUUGUUGACCUCUGUUAUGAAUUA